AGGAGGCUCCUAGGGAGGUUAAUGUUGUGCGGCGUUUGGAAGACUGGACCAAGUUGAGAAAAAGUGGAAGCCUCUGGAGGAGUACCGUGGUCCUGGACUCUUAUUUGUUAAGUGUAUUACCAGGAUUUACCAUAGGCCUAAUACUCCCUAGUGGCCUCGACGGAGACUGGAAGCCUGCGGCUUGUCGAAGGCUAUCAGCUGUUUGCAUGCUAUGCAGUUGUGACAUCUAUUGCUGUCUGCUUCUACAACAAAAUGUACAAGAAGAUCAAGCGAAAUUGAUGGCGAAUGUUGAAGGUUGGGAGGUUGGUAAAUAUUACAGUGAACCCAUCUUCAAAACUGUAUCUGACAAGUGCUAUAUUGACUCCAUCAUCCAAGAGUACUACAUUCAUGGUCCCUCAUCCAACUACAUUUUUGGCCCCUACUUUUCCCUCUUCACUUGACCAGUGACUGAUGGAAUAAAAAUUUGUGGUACUGUACUACUGUAUCCCUCUGAUUAACUGCUUAAAUUUGUAGGUUUUCAUAUAUCUAGUUUGAAAGUCUACACAUGAUGUAAUAUGAACAUACCUGCAUAACACAAAUAAAUUUGUCAUAUGUUAAAAUGUGCAUGCCAACUGAAAUAGAAAAUUUAAUAGUUAAA